rnacentral:rRNA from 1 species
UACGUAGGGUGCAAGCGUUUGUCCGGAAUUAUUGGGCGUAAAGAGCUCGUAGGCGGUCUGUCGCGUCUGCUGUGAAAACUCAGGGCUUAACCCUGAGCUUGCAGUGGGUACGGGCAGACUAGAGUGCAGUAGGGGAGACUGGAAUUCCUGGUGUAGCGGUGAAAUGCGCAGAUAUCAGGAGGAACACCGGCGGCGAAGGCGGCUUCCUGGCCCAUUACUGACGUUCAGGUACGAAAGCGUGGGUAGCAAACAGG